rnacentral:rRNA from 1 species
GAUGAACGCUAGCUACAGGCUUAACACAUGCAAGUCGAGGGGUAACGAGAGGAAAGCUUGCUUUCCUUGUCGACGACCGGCGCACGGGUGAGUAACGCGUAUCCAACCUGCCCCCAACUAAGGAAUAACCUUGCGAAAGUAAGACUAAUACCUUAUAAUUUCCUCAGAUGUCAUCUGACGAGGAAUAAAGAUUUAUCGGUUGUGGAUGGGGAUGCGUCUGAUUAGCUUGUUGGCGGGGUAACGGCCCACCAAGGCAACGAUCAGUAGGGGUUCUGAGAGGAAGGUCACCCACAUAGGAACUGAGACACGGUCCAAACUCCUACGGGAGGCAGCAGUGAGGAAUAUUGGUCAAUGGGCGAAAGCCUGAACCAGCCAAGUAGCGUGCAGGAUGACGGCCCUAUGGGUUGUAAACUGCUUUUAUACAGGAAUAAAGUUAGCCACGUGUGGUUAUUUGUAGGUACUGUAUGAAUAAGGACCGGCUAAUUCCGUGCCAGCCGCCGCGGUAA